AGCUACGCAGUGAGCACAAAGCGAACUAUUCUUUCGCCUUUUACUAAAGAAUACCGUGUGCGCUCUGCUAUUAGUGGCAUACGCCAAUUUUUGGAGGGUUUUCAACUUUGAGACCC
rnacentral:snRNA from 1 species